GGCGUUGGGUGGGGGAGGCGGUCACAGAGAGUAGAAAAGUUCCCCCAGCGCGGAGGGGGGAGGCUGCGGCGGCGGCGGCGGCGGCGGCGGCAGCGGCGGCUGCAAAGCGCAGGAGCCGGAGCGGGAGGAGCGGGAGGAGGAGGAGGAGGAAGUGGCUGCGGAGCGCUCGGCCAAUGAGUGUCUGGAGCUGUGAUUAACCAGGCAGCAACACAUCAUUUCCUCCCGGCGCCGAUCCAGGGAGCCGGGAGGGAGAGGGAAGGCGGCGGGGCGGGGCCGUCCCCCGCGCCCCCUGCAGGCGCCCCGGCCGGGGGCGAGCCCGCCGAGCCCCGCCGAGCCUGACCGUGCCGCCCCCGGCGCGCCCCGCGCCGUCUGGCUCGGCCCGGGAGGCUGCGGGCGGGGAGGCGGCGGGCCGGGCCGGGCGCUCGCGGCCGGGGUGGGAGGAGGAGAGGCGGCGCGGCGCGGGUGAGUGCCCAGGUUCAUUCAAACAGCAGCAGGCAUUUAUUGGGUAACUGCAGCACUGCAAAAGGUUGCAAAAGAAAUGAAGAUCUGGUCCCUGCAGGUCAGGAGUUUACAAUCUAAUUAAAAAUACAAAGCAGAGAUACAUGAAACAACUGGAGAAUAAUUCCUAGGUGGCACAUAAGCAAGGAGAUGGAGAAGACUACGGCUUUUCAUAUAUACAUAUUUCCCUCCAAUAAGCUCUAUGAAGACAGACACAGGAUUUGGUUGUUUUUCCCAUGUAUCAUCACACCUGCCUUGGACAUUCUCAAAGGUUUGCUAAGGGAGGAACUUGAUCCACUUUUUGAAGAGCACUGCCUUACCCCAGCAUCUUACCCACUGAUUUAAUUCUGGAAGAAAAUCACACCAGGAAAGUAACUUGGAGGAAAUACAUCUUCUGUCAUUGUAAGAUUAUCAGAUCUCCUCAAUCGUAUGUUUCAAGGAGCACGACUCUUGUUAAUUAAUUGCCUGCUGCAUUGUGAAUUGGCAUCUCUUCUGUUUUCUGCAUAUCCUCCUCCUUUACGCCCAGAUCAACAUGUUCAUUUCUAAAAGUCAACAGCUUUCAAAAACUAUUAGGAAACUAGAUCUUGAGCAAUGUAUGAGUCCUGUAUAAUAUUUUCCUAUAAAAUUUAGGGAAUUUAUUCCAUACAAUUUUCCAGAAAGCUUCCUCUUAUGGUUAAGCUCUUAAGCUUACCAACAAAAACCACAGCUAUUCUGUCCUCAGAUGAUGAGUGAUAUAAAAUGUAGAUUGUAACUUUUAUAAAUUGCUUCAUUGUAUGCUUUCUUUCAUCUUGAAAAUAUUUCUUUUUGGCUACAGAGUUUUGUUUUUCAUAAUAGGAUAAGAAAACAUAAUUAAAACCUACAAAGCAAAAUUCAGUUUACUGAUCAAUUUAUUUAAAACUUCCAGAAGCAAAUUUUUGUUUUGUUUUGGUUUGGUUUGGGGGCUACACCUGGCAAUGCUCACGGGUUACUCCUGGCUCUGCACUCCGGAAUUAC